GAAAUCUGGGAUUCUGAGCAAAAGUCAGGGCAGUCCAUGACAUGCUUGUGUCUUUUCUUUCCUUGUCUGUGGCUCCUAAAUUUACACUCACACUCUUUGAGCACAAAUCAGUUACUUUAUGCGAUACAGGAUUUAGGAGUUUUAACAUGUGCUUGUUUCUAGGUAAGCUUGACCAAACCAAUUAGAUUUGGCUGUGCAUAUUUUUUCUUCUUGAUAACACCUGUUUUAAACACCAGAAUAAUGAAAAAGUAAUCAGAGCUCUAAAACUCUAAUUUUACUGACCUGGGAUACACUAGAUAGAUUGCUUAGUGGCAGAUGUUCAGGACCAAUGUAUUUAGCAUUUACUUUUACUUAAACACUUUCUAGCCUCGUCUCAAGAAGCAGAAGACAUUAAACCAGCAGCAUACAGGAUUAUUACAGGAUUCUGUGCUGAAAAAGUAAUGGAGAUGUUUUCAUUAAUUAUGCUCUUCAGCUUAUCCCAUUUUGUCCCAUACUUUCUCUCCAUGGUGAUGAGAAAUUUGAUAUUGACUCACACGUGCGAUAUCCACAGAAUUUGUGAAUUGGAAGGGGAGGAGUAUCUAGGCUGACCUCCACAUCCAUACUGACAGAACAUCUGAAUUCACUAAUGAUUUCAAAGGCACCAAGUAAAAUACUAUUCCUUGUUAAGACUGAAUGUGACAGCCUGCAAAUUGGUCAACUUUUAACAGCAGUAGUUAAAAAUACCAUUCCUAAUGAGAUACAUAGAGAAAUAAGAAUAGCCUCAAAACACAUAAAUGAAGGCUGAUUUGUCCUAGGAUGUUAGUCAGAUAGUGCCUCACAACUGGUCUUUCAGGAAAAUCCCAUGGUUGGAUAAUCUGUACCCUUAUUUGUGUUCUUCUAAAUGUUAGAAAUUGUCUGUUCCCGAAGUGUUCUCAGGCACAGCAUGAACACAAGGACUGGAGUGGAAAGGACUUCUCUGCCUUCACAUAAGGCUUCAGAAAAGUAUGAACAUAAGAAAGUCAUGAGGACUUAUAGCAUAUCACAGGAAUGGAGAGCUCUAGGACUCUGGGGAGUGUUUGCAUGGCAAGGUGGAGUCAUCAAGGUGGAGUCAUGUGCUGCUAAACAUAGCACAGAAUGGAAAUAUGUAUCAGUUUAAGGACUUCUUGGAACUACAGUAAAAUAGAAAACUUCAGCCUGUAAAAGAGCCCUGGGCAUCUUGCAGUUCAACCUCCUGGUGAAAGCUGGCCCUUUAUUCACCUUCCUUCCUUUCUCUACUUGUAGGUUUUGGGGUCUGUAUUGAUUUGUAUUUUAUAUCAUACUUCACAGUGACUAGAUAUAAAAAAUACUUACAAAUGAGACCCAAAGACAUCUGUAUUUUAAUUUUAUUUCUACUCAUUUAUGUUUAGAAGCAAUUCCAUUUCAUUUAAUAAAAAUUGUGACAUUUUCAGUGCAACUUGUUCAAGUUUAUUGCAUUAAUAUUUAUUGCAUUUUUUUUUUCUUUUUCAUGAGAGCAAAUGCAUAUAUGUCUGAGAUAUUUUUAAAUUUAUUCAGAGCCCAAAUAUAUUUUUGGGGAAAGAAGUGGUAUCAUAUUAGCCUGAAAUUUUGUGGAGUGCUUUUAGUGAG